rnacentral:rRNA from 1 species
GGAUUAGAUACCCUGGUAGUCCACGCCGUAAACGAUGUCGACUUGGAGGUUGUGCCCUUGAGGCGUGGCUUCCGGAGCUAACGCGUUAAGUCGACCGCCUGGGGAGUACGGCCGCAAGGUUAAAACUCAAAUGAAUUGACGGGGGCCCGCACAAGCGGUGGAGCAUGUGGUUUAAUUCGAUGCAACGCGAAGAACCUUACCUGGUCUUGACAUCCACAGAACUUUCCAGAGAUGGAUUGGUGCCUUCGGGAACUGUGAGACAGGUGCUGCAUGGCUGUCGUCAGCUCGUGUUGUGAAAUGUUGGGUUAAGUCCCGCAACGAGCGCAACCCUUAUCCUUUGUUGCCAGCGGUCCGGCCGGGAACUCAAAGGAGACUGCCAGUGAUAAACUGGAGGAAGGUGGGGAUGACGUCAAGUCAUCAUGGCCCUUACGACCAGGGCUACACACGUGCUACAAUGGCGCAUACAAAGAGAAGCGACCUCGCGAGAGCAAGCGGACCUCAUAAAGUGCGUCGUAGUCCGGAUUGGAGUCUGCAACUCGACUCCAUGAAGUCGGAAUCGCUAGUAAUCGUGGAUCAGAAUGCCACGGUGAAUACGUUCCCGGGCCUUGUACACACCGCCCGUCACACCAUGGGAGUGGGUUGCAAAAGAAGUAGGUAGCUUAACCUUCGGGAGGGCGCUUACCACUUUGUGAUUCAUGACUGGGGUGAAGUCGUAACAAG